CUACGGGGCGCACCAGUGGGGAAUAUUGCACAAUGGGCACAAGCCUGAUGCAGCCAUGCCGCGUGUAUGAAGAAGGCCUUCGGGUUGUAAAGUACUUUCAGCGGGGAGGAAGGGAGUAAAGUUAAUACCUUUGCUCAUUGACGUUACCCGCAGAAGAAGCACCGGCUAACUCCGUGCCAGCAGCCGCGGUAAUACGGAGGGUGCAAGCGUUAAUCGGAAUUACUGGGCGUAAAGCGCACGCAGGCGGUUUGUUAAGUCAGAUGUGAAAUCCCCGGGCUCAACCUGGGAACUGCAUCUGAUACUGGCAAGCUUGAGUCUCGUAGAGGGGGGUAGAAUUCCAGGUGUAGCGGUGAAAUGCGUAGAGAUCUGGAGGAAUACCGGAGGCGAAGGCGGCCCCCUGGACGAAGACUGACGCUCAGGUGCGAAAGCGUGGGGAGCAAACAGGAUUAGAUACCCCAGUAGUC
rnacentral:rRNA from 1 species